AGAAAAGCGAUGAAUUAAAGUAGUAAAUUCUGAAAUUUGAAAAAGAGAGUCGAUGGUUGGUGAAAAUCGAACAAAGGAAGGAAUCGAACUUGUUAAGGAGCUGAUUGUGGAUUCGUUUUCUCGCGUUAAGAGAUUUGAGUGCAUCGUUUACGAUGAACUAAGGUGGUACCGCGUGAAUUUACGUCCUUAGA
rnacentral:ncRNA from 1 species